rnacentral:rRNA from 1 species
GGGUGAGUAACACGUGGGUGAUCUGCCCUGCACUUCGGGAUAAGCCUGGGAAACUGGGUCUAAUACCGGAUAGGAGCCAUUUUUAGUGUGAUGGUUGGAAAGUUUUUCGGUGUAGGAUGAGCUCGCGGCCUAUCAGCUUGUUGGUGGGGUAAUGGCCUACCAAGGCGGCGACGGGUAGCCGGCCCGAGAGGGUGGACGGCCACAUUGGGACUGAGAUACGGCCCAG